GUGUGAUGUAUAAUUCUCUAACAAGAGGCAGUAAACGGAAGCUUGAGCAGCUACUACAACAAUGGUCGGAAUGGCAUGCGCAACAUUUUUCUUCAUCACAUGUUUCCAAUGAAGUGCUAGAAUCUGGUGAAGAGACAUACUUCCCUGCACUUCAUGUUGGUUUGGAUAAUCCUUCUGCAGUG